rnacentral:lncRNA from 1 species
CCUUCCUCUUGGAGCCCUUCUAUGAGCCCAGGAUGCGGGAGACGUGCCUUAAUCUCUGGCUCACAGCCUUGUCAAAUGCUGCAGUAAAGAACUGGCAAGCUCAGUGCUGCUAAUGGAUUGAAAUCUCCACCAGAAACAAAGAAGUUUGUCUGCGAGGCUUUUACUGAAUCUUAGCCAAAGGUACGAGUCUUUUAACGAAGAAAUACAGCUUCUACAGACUUGCUUUCUCUUCUUCAGUAUAAAUUUUGAUGUAUAAAUAACGUUCCUACGGAGACCUGGUCAUCUGCUGGUAUUGAUCACCUGCCUCCCUGUCCUCCAAGGUCUGAUUCAGUCAUAGCCUGAAACAAAUGUCAGCACCUUUACUGGAAAAUGUAGUAAACAGUGGAUUAGACAAACGAGAGGGCUGGAAAUGGGUCUGCUUCAAGUCUUACCGCAUACCUUGUGGAGUGAUGUCUGGAGAUGGUGGAGUUGUGUAUCCUCCGUUGAGACUGCCUUCAUGGCACAUUUGUUUCAAGGCAUGCAAUUGAGACGCUCGGAUACCGAUGUUCAGAGCCCUCUUCUCCUUGCUUACCUAAAUUUAGUUAAAGAGCCCUUGAGAUAAGUAGAAGUGCUGCAGCCACAGUCCUAGGGAGAAGUGUUCACCUGCUUGUUGAUUCACUGCCGGCUGUGUUCCCUGACUGCAAUCAGAGCACAUUUUCCCCUUCAGAAGUUUAGAAUCAAGGAGAAGGUAAACACAUGCCAAAUCUUGCAGUGAUGUUGGCCCGCUCCCAAAGUUGCAACAUAAUGAAGAAAACGUUCAGUUUAGAACUCUGUGCCCCUUUUUUACAACAUUCCUUAGCAAGCCCUCUCUACCAUGGCAUUACUGCUUCAUCCCAGGAAUAAUUCACCUGAUGCACCCUGAGACCAUGCUGCCUUUUUCACAGGAUGGGAUGUGACCUUCGGCUGCCCUGGGCAGAUUCUCCUGUGAGUCAGUGGUGGAUUUGGUUUCUACAGAGCUCAGCGACCUGCACCAGUCAAUGCUGGGGACUUCUCAAAGAAAUGGUUCCAAAUUCUCCCAGUGUUGAGUUAGCAUACUCCAAGAGGAACCCACCAGUUACAGAGGGCUUUGUAUUACUGGUCCAGGAGCAAUUUCAGUGUCAAAAUUGCCCCAGGAACUUUGGGAAUAGUUGGGCAAAAUGAUGGUCACAUCUGCCACCUCUCAUGAUGUUCCAGUUGUUUACUUAUUAGUGAGUGAGUAGCAUGUGGGGCUGCAGGAGCCCACAGGCAUCCACUUCCAAAUCCUCGGAGUUGCUGCAGUGCACAGCUCUUGCUCUUCUUUUAUUUUUUCUUUCCAAACAAGUUUUUUUAGCCUUUGACAUUUUAGGAGAAAUUUACAAAAGAAAAAGAAGAGAAAGAUCUAUUCUGAUUUCUGACAAAAUAAAGUUAAACUUCUGCAAGAAUUUAAGUAAGCAAUCAAAAACUAACUAUAGGUGUAAUAAGCAGAACUUUAUGUAUUUAUGCCCAUCAAAGAGGCAACAGCAGAGUAGUGUUGUCUAUCUAUGUGCAGAAAACAGUGGUUUUCUCAGCUUCAUCUCAUGAGUAUGCAGAUGUGGCUGUGGCUAAAGGAGAUGUGCUUGAAGCGGUAAUCAACCUUUUAAUUCCAAUGGUAAAAUUGCCAUGUGAAGGCAUGCAACUCCUCGAGGGCUACAUGACUCUCCAUACAGUCUUGGCACUAUGUGGGCACCAUUGGUACCCACGAUGCACCCCAGACCUUACCUACACUCUGCUCUGUGUCAGGACUCAUUUCAGGACUCAUUUUGAUCUCAUUUCAGAGGUGACUGUACUGUGGGACUGUACAGAGCCAUGCUGGAUCAGAAAUGGAAAACAGAACCAUAGCCAGCAACAGAUGGAUAGAAGAAUUUUGGCUGGAUGUUGCACAAAAAGGUCUACGUACUCUUAGGUUUGUGGUAGAAGAGUUCUCCAAGAUGCUAAUUUUAGGUACAGUUUGAUGUAGAACAUUUGUUCUUCAAUAUCGACGACCUUCUUCAAAAGCACACAUUAUUCCAGACCUUGGGUAUGACAUAAAGGGUUAAGCUGUCCUGUUGUACGGAGAAGCCAGAGCCGCCUCACUGCUCUGUGAAAUCCAAGGAAAGCAGUGGCUCCCGAAAUGCCCUCCCUUGCCUGAACAGUUUGAAGGGAGAAAACACUUCAACUGUGGCUUUCCCAACAGCCUUUUCCUGGGAUGGAUAUUUUCUUCUACAGAAGAAACUUCUACAGAGAAAUUCUGAUACGGUCAACUAACUAGAGCAUCUGGUGUAUGCAGCUGGUCUAAGGAUUCAGCAAGAGGUGAGACCAGGAGCUGUUUAAUCACCACAAACAUGAAGACUAACCCAAGCAUGCUCUCCCUUCUCUGGAGGAAGUCAAGCAGCAGCACUGAGGCAUAAAUGUUCAAGUCCCUUCCAGACGUCUUGCCUGCUUCUGCCUUGAGUCACUAGAAAAACAAGGUGGUUUUGCUGGGUGGAGAUUUGUGUCAGAAUAACUUGCAGAACCGAGCCCUCAGUUUGCAAACGGCGGCGAACUUCAGUUCAUUAAAAGAAAUUUCAGAGGUGAGCUUCGUGAUGCUUUAAACAAUCACUGGAGGAAAAUAUUGGAGCUUUCCACCAAGGCCGUGAGCCAAGCCAGGUUCCAUCUGUGCACUCUCCUCUACUUGAGUGGUCACGUCCAUGUGCCAUUACUAAGGAUGUAUGGUGGAAUCAUGCCAAGCCUUCAACCUCACAUUUUGAACUUCUCAAUAAGAAAGACGGGGGGAUGGUUUUAAAAAGCAAAAGUCCAUGUUCUUAAGCAUCAUCCUCGCUCUUGGUAUUACUGGCAACGGCUGCCCAGGAAUCACUGUCCCUGGAGGUAUUCCAGAACCACAGAGAUGUGACACUGAGGGACACAGUGAGUGGACAUGGUGGGAGUGGACUGCGGUUGGACUUGAUCCUAGAGGUACCUCUGAGAGACAAAGGUCAGGAAAUGGGCUCCUUGCCAGGCCACGGCCACGAUCCAGGUUUUCUGAGACUGAGUACAUUCAUCUGAGCUGUUAGCUGCUACGCUCCACCGCAUCCCUGUAUGAUCUGCCUAGGCUUGGUCCCCCAGAGGAAAUUUCUGCAUGCAUACUGUAUAUGAACUUUAGAUAAAUAAAUAAACACGAGAAACAGCUUCCAGAUAAUUGAAAGCGAGUGAAGGAGGGAGCAAAAAGAAAACAAUUUCUCAGGGGAGAAGCAAGCUGAGGUGGCAGGUGCAGCCUAAAUUCAGCCAAGGUAUUUUGGUUGUUCACUACCUUCGCGUAAUUAAAUAUUGAAGCACGCUGAGCUGUGGUAUCAACAUCCGUAUGGUACAAAUACCUUUUCAGCCCAGCUGGACUCAGCUGCAUUAUCUGUGACCUGAAAAGCACACGCUCACCUUGGUUAAAUGGGGCUCGACUCAGCAAUAUUCAGCAGAGCUGCGGCGGUUCCUGGCUCUGGCCACCAAGGCUCCACAGGAUUUUCACUGCUCAGGUGUUGCAAAGCCUAAUCCUUAUUCAGGAACCAAAACGCUCCCCUCUCCUUGCCUGCGGUGCUUGGAUGCCUGCCUUUGGCAGUAGCCCCAGACUCCUGCAGAAGAUGAAGACAUCCCUCCAUGCCUAUAGAUGGAAAAGCGCCAACAUGGAUGCCAUCAGAAGGACGCAGCUGAGCAUAUGCUGAGAAAAUUGUGGCAUCCAUACUGUACAUGGGGAAGGGCUGACUGAACACACCAGUUUGUUGAAGCUUAUGGCCCUGAAAAGGAAACAUAGGUUUCCUGUAAAUGUCAUUCAGGGAUAUGCUAACUGUUAUUUCCUGGCACUGGAUCAUGAUGCUUUCAACACAUUCUGUUCCUCUACCUCUGCUGCUACCUCUGCUGCCUGCCUGCCUGGUUGUGCGCAGUGAUAGCUCUCCUGUCUUCUCACCUUUCCUCCUCCCCGCGCCAGGCAAAGGUAUUCUGGUUGGGAGGGCCAAUGUCAGCGAGCGAGAUGACAGACGGAGAGAUGAAAUCUCAGCCCUGCACUCAGCCUGGCUGCUGCCUGUACCUGGGCCUUGCUGCACCAUCCCUUGAACGCAAAGCAAUUCAAGGAAAAGAGUAACUUCUGUUACAUUAGAAAUCACGCAUUUCUGACCCAGAAAGAGAGGAAUUUCACAGUCUCUCAGGACAUGUGCUUGAAGGGAGGAUUUCUGGAGCCUAAACCAGAGGAGCCCAGGAGCUGCUGGUGUGAAGGCUCACCGCAAGCACCUGCUGCUUCUGGAGGAGUUCCUGUGGCAAUGCAUGUGCUCAGGAUGAAUAGGAAUCCAAGUUAACAGAAGGAAGAAACAACUCUUUUGUAGUAAUGCUCUGUAGGGCAUUAUCACAGCUAAUCUUAUGGUGGUAUGUUUUAGUCCAAAAAUGUUACUGCUCAGGUCCAUGCUACACCAUUUGUCAGUUGUUUACACCCUACAUAUGGAUUAGCACUGUAUGCUAGCUAUGAAAACCUGUUCUGCUCUUAACCCACCUGCAUGAAGCGCUGAAGCAGCUCACUGCAUCUGAUAUUUAGCUUUACUUCCUUAAGAUGUUGGACCACAAGAAGCAGGCACAGGUACAGGUAACUUGGUAGUGUAAUAAACUCUCCCCAUGUUUCAUCCACCAUUGGCUGUCAAGUUUAAAGAUGUUUGUAAUGAUUUGCCACUGGUGAAAUCCAAAGUAAGACUAGGAAUGUGUCUGUUUUGGCCAACUAGUAAUGACAGCUUGAAUGAUAUUGCACCAAAGUACUUUUGGACCACUAUUGGUUCACUGCCUGAAAAUAAAAUCUUUUUAUUUAUUUUGUCUCCUAUACCCACCAUUCAGAUUUCCUUCAGGAAACAUACCCUGGCCCCUGUCCACUAUCGGAUAGGUGAGAGUGAGGCGGUCUUUGCAGUGGUUAAGCACAAAUUUUGCAGAGAAGGGAUAAAGUGUUGUGGGCAAGGACCUGUGGGCUGAAAGUCAGAGUAACCAUGAUGCAGUGCCAUCACCCCACCUCACAGCUCAGAGUCUUGCAUAUCGCAUGGGCUGCCUGGAGCCUACACAGUUCACAGAGUGGAAAAAGGAAUUGAAGAAGCAAAAAUAAAUACUAAAGCAUGUAAGAAUUAAAUAUCACCUAUUUAAAUAGCAAUUACGCCGCUAAAAACAAGAUCACCACACCUGUACAAGAAAAGACAAGCAAGCCCAAAACAUCUGUUUGCAUCCACCUGCCAAGCACCUGUUCCGCUGUUUCAAUGCCAUUUGAUUGCUGGAGAUGUAGAGGCUCUUGUGAGGCUGGUCGUCACACAGGAAACUGUAUGCAGAGUCCAUCAGCCCAUGCUCUUCAUCACGAACUCAGUUGCUCUUUAAGACCAUCUCCCAGAGAUGAGGAAGAUGCGUUGAUCCAAACGAGACGCAGCCAAGCUUGGAGCAUCCUCUCUGCUCCAUCCCAAGAGGCUGCUGUGGUCUGGAUCUCAUCUCGUCUUCUAGUAACAUCUUCCAGAUUUGUUUUAAACUGAUUAGACGCUGCUGAAGAAUCAGCUCUCUCCCCCGGACAGUACAAAGCAGAGUGCUGGCAGAGCUGGCUCUUGGCCAUCAUCUACAUGGUGACGCAGCAUCACAUCACUUGACAGCCCCAAUUUCAUUUGGGGAGCUCUGAAAUGUUCACAUGCACUGAAAAAAAUUAUAAUAAUACACAAGGUGACAGGAGGGUGCAAUUAAAACAGAAGCGCCAGCUUGACCAGAGAGUGGCUUUAAUUGGAGGUCUUCUAUACGCUGGAGCACAGACUCUAAAAGGUAUUUCUGCCUUUCUAAUGUGGCUGCAUUUCUGCCUCUGAAUUUUGAUUUUGAAAAACAGAAAAUGAUGCCUUUUUUAUUGGGCCAGUGAGAGAAAUUACAGGGAAUGAGCUGAGUGAAUUUAAAAUUCUCUCAGUAGGGUAUAAAGGCAGGGAAAUACUUGUCCCUCCAUAGCUCAGUAACUUCCAGUGCAGGUUAGACAUAGGAACACUCGUUCCCAGUGCCCACCUAAGCAUGGGGGUUCAUGUAAGUGAGGAUCACAUGUGUUGUCACCACCUCGAUUCUCUGCUGGAUGGAUCUCACCCUCACUUUAAACAUAAGGAAGAAAUUCAGAAGGUCACCACAUCAAAUACUAAUUCUGAAAUUCAUUUCUCCCUAAAGAUUAAUAUAAAGCCCAAAAUGAAAUACACUGAAAAUAAGCAAAGUUAGCUGCAGUAUUUGAGUCUUCCCAUCACAGUGUCCUAAGAGGUAUCCUGUGGUUUGACACAUAAUUAAUAUGUUUAUCUAUCUUUGCUUUCUUUCAUUCUUUGUUUUCAAUAACAGCCAUCACCAUAAUAGUCAAGUAUAAACAUUCCAUCCUGUUUCAUAAAGAGCCUACGGUCCAUUUUAUUGCAACACAGUUACUUUCCCAGAUCCCACGAGUGACAAGGCGUGAUGCUUGAAAAAAUUCUCUGAAAUUUUCUCACCGUUUUUGCUUGAAGUAAGUUGCAUUCUGUUUACAAACUUGGGAAAAUGGGCCUCUUUUGCCUACUUUUGAGUGUCAUGGGAACACAUACCGAGAUCUGAUCCAGUAGCACUGCGUGAUGCUGGGAGCUUCUCAGGGUCCCGUAGUUUGCCCCCGAGGGUGUUUCAGGAUGCGGUGUAAAGUUGCAUGCUGUUUGCCAUGUCCAGGGUCCCAGACACAUGGGGAAUCAGACUGGCUCCAAUAUUGAAAGCUGAUCAUUUUUCAGACAAACAUAGAUAUGAUUUUUGUUAUUUAUUCACGCUGAAAUGUUAAUAUGUCCUCAUUACUCUAAAUUAUUUCAUUUUCAACUUACAGUAUGUUCAUGGAUUGCUUGAAGGAAUUACUGGCUUUAGCUUAUGUUAUCUGUGACUCACUUUUAAUAGACUUGACUGGCCAGGUAAUUUCCACAGUAUUGUUUUUGGCUCCUUAACUGGAUCCCAUCCAAGUUUACAAAGUGCUUCCACAGAGAUAAUGGAGAACAUUCCAGCCUCCUGUGAAAUGUCAGCUCUGUGUCCAGUGCUAGACGUGCAGCAUUAACCUGGUUAAAGCUGCUGGAUUCUGUAAUUUCUUUCUGGGAAGUACCAAACAUCCUAAAGACACCAAGUCAAAUCUGCCAAAAGCAGGAGAGAAAAAGAAAAUGGGAGACUCAGAGUGAGAGUGAAAAGUAAAUGCAAUGCUAUUACUUUACACCAAAGAACUGUAAGUUAAUUGAUGUCCAUAAUAAACUUUCAGUAGAAAAGUAUUAAAUAUUUUUGAAGACGUCUGUAAAUCCAGUAUUGGGAAAAAAAAAGUUACUGUUAUCUGGGUUUAAUCAGCUGAGAAAAGCAUGAUGAUAAAUAAGAUUUAGUGGAAGCAUAAAUUGAAAAUGGCGAAUAAUACUUUUAAAAGGGAGCCUACUGGAAUACGUAUGUCUCUAUGUCUCUGAGGUAUUUGAUUUGGAAUAUAUAAUCAUCUCCUUUGAGGAUAUUUAUGAAAGUUAUUUCUGAAUGUUCAGAGAUUUCUCUGCUUUUCAUUAUCUAUUUUUCUUAACAAGGGCCAGAACUGUAUGCCUGAUUUUCUGUGAUAUAUUCACUUGGGAGGUUUUCUCGUACUGGCCAAGGACACAUCGUUUACAAGAAGGUCCUGUCAAGCAUCCAAAUGUCUCUGCUGAAGCUUCCAUUUUAGAUGACCCCACAGAAUGUGAGAAAACCUUCUUUUAGGGGAAUGGCAUCUUCUGGCCAGAGCUGUGUCCUGAAAGGCUGCUGUGCUUAACGCACAGUUGAAAUGCCCAAUGCAAAUUAAUGGUAGAGGUAGGGAUGAUGUACCUGUGUUUUCUCAAGAAAGAAAACUCAAACCCUUGGGAUGAUAUUUUCUGCAUGCAUGAUUACCUUCAUUGCAAUUUGGAUUUCUGAGAAGGUCAGUUGGACUUUUGGGCCCUGUGUUCUGGAGAAAUCUGAAGAAUUUGGGUCAUCUUCCUCUCUUGACUUAAAAAUAACUUCUGUUAAUGCAAUUUGGAAAGCAUAUUUCUUUGAAUAUGAUCUUCCAUUUGCAGAGGGGGCAAAGUUUACAAUUUUGGGUGGAAACCAUGUGAAAGCUAGCGGUUCCAUCAGGGGUUUGUUUGGAAAUUUUUGGAUUUGUUCAAACUCAAAAGUCAAAGUGAAACUCGGGGGAUGUGAACCCGCUUGAAUCAAAACCAAAACAGUGAUGCGCCAGAUCUCCCAUGAACCAAAACCACCGGGUUCUCACAGUUCUCAUCCAAACAAAAAUGCACUAACAUAAAUCAAAUACCGAACCAAAUAUCCUCUUUUGCUCCAUCUGGCUUUCAUGGAAAUAACUCAGAAUAUUUAAAAGGUCUGCUCAGUUUUGCAGCAGCAACCACCAAAAUAUCCUGAGAUCAUUUGAUAUCAGGCAGUUAAUAUCCUGAUCUAUUCUCUUUAGUCAGUAUUCUAAUCCUUUUCUACCAACACUGCCUUGGAGUGCACAGCGUAACUAUCCCUUAACAUCUUCCUCGAUUGUACGGUUUCACAGGGAAGACUCUGUGAACAAUUCACAGUCCUUCUCCUUCUCAUUCUUGCUCAGAGAGCCAAGAAAGGAGUUGGAGCUGCAAGCAGAUGAAAAAACCAAGCAGUACGAUCAGUACGGAAGCAGAACACUUAGCUGCUAUAGGACAAGCUGGGGCACUGAGAAAAUAUUUAAUGAUAAUUUUCCUUGUGAUUUCCCUUGUUUGAGACCAUACUAUGACCCUGAAAUGAGAGAAUUAAAAAAAAAGAUGUUUUGCAGUAUAUCAUGUAGCAAAACGUCUCUAAAGCCAUUAAAAAAAGUGCUGGGCAUGGAAGAACAGAAAAGGUUUCCUCUGUAACUAAGACACGCUUGUUUGUAAUAACAUGUGCUUUCAAACACUGCCAAGUUGCUGAGGAUAUCUCUGUUAUAUACAAUCCUGAAAAAUGUGUUAAAAAAAACAAGGUAAUGUAAAAAAAAGAAAAAAAAUCUAAAAAAAAGAAGAGUUUGAUCAGAUGGUUAAAAUCCAGUCAAACCUAAGACAACCUGUUUAUGACCUUUCCAUGCUAAAAGCUAGAAAUGUCUUUCUUUUUUUUUUUUUUUUUUUUUUUCCACAAGAUUAAUUACCAUCACUUUGGGAGUAGUGAGCUGGACAUUAUUAUAUGAUGUCAAUUAAUGAUUAAAAAAAAGGUGGUUUGCAAAUGUAGCACCACAGUCCCUGGUGCAUUACAUCAUUUCUGAAAGAUCUUAACACGUGAUAAGCAGAGAACAUUUUAACCUAAAAGUCUGAGUGUUACAACCUCCUUUUCUGUUGUAACACCCUACCCACAACCUUUUGGCCUUGAAGUCACUCGCAAUAAAAUUAAGAAGUCAAAAAGAAAAGGGGGGAAAAAAACCUCUGGGAAAGACAAGACACACUUCUGUUUUGCUGUCGAGCAGAUAAUGCAACAAAAUGAGUGGCUAUACGCAUUGGGAAACGCGGUUGCUGAUCUUUGUGCAGUGUUCUCAGCAAGAUUCGUCAUCAAAAUCUCAUGCUUAGAGUCGUAAGGUUGCUGUGAUUCAGGUAUUAUAAACUACAUAAUGCAGUUAUCUCUGUGAGAGUGCCUCGAAAAUUUCAUGCGCUGACUGAAAUGACUCCUGCACUUGUCUAUGCGCUGCUUUCCCAGAUGGGCUGACAGUGAUCAUUUUAUGUGCCUUAUUGAAUUCGCUGAAAUAUUUAGAAGGGUUUCUACCUAUAUUUUACAUCUCCUUCUGUUAUUACCUUUUUUGCAGCAACAGUUUGACUUCUUCGUCAAUAAUACACAUAACCUGAUCCAUUCUUCUCUGAGCUCUUCUCCUCUUUUAGCGUCAAAAUGCUGUGGAUGUUCCUUUGUAAACGAUAUGCAUUUAAAAUACCUUUGUAAUAAUAAAUACCACACGAACAUAUGUAUCAAGGAAAGGAUUUCAAUUUUGAUGACACUUGCUUCUCAAGAACAGACAUUCUGGAAGGAAAAAACAUUGCCAGCCCCAAAUUGAUUGACAUUUGUUUACUUAACUCUCUCUUCUUGAAAGUCUGCACACCUAUUUCAACCUUGAACAGUUUCCAACUGUGGUAUACUGGAACAUUUUUUCAUUUAUUAAGUUCAGUGUUGCCAACCCAAACAAAGAGUAAUCAGUGAUGAUCCAAGCAGACCAAGCUGUCUAGCACCAUACAAUGUAUCUGCAUGCUAAUUUUCAAAUUCCCUCACAUUUCCAGAGAACUAAUGGGAUCAUUUUCAUUCUGUUACAGCAACUCAACAGUUACUGAAUCACCAUCUGUGUUUUCGUUAACCUGAAUCAGAUAUGAAUUCUGUUAUUGCAAGGUAGAGCAGCUUGUUUAAUGAUUCUUAAUCUUUUCUUUAAUUAAAUCAUGCAGCCAACCUGAAAAAUCUAUCUUAAUGCAAAUUAGGAGCUUUUUUGGCAUUCACUUACAGUAAUGCACUAAUAAGGUUAAUUUAUGAAGGUUCUCUUCCAGUCUGUACAGAUGAUAUUUGUUCGCUGCAUAUUUUUAGCAUAUUGUCCCCUUUUCUAAUAUUUAAAAAAAUAUCGCUAAUAAAAAAGGGGUUGUUUUCACUCAUACAAAAGAGGAAGGCUGCGAGCUGCUUUUUGUUUAUUUGAAAGAACACAGAAAAGGAAGAUGGGUUUCUCCCCUCCGUGAGCAUCUCUCCACGCGGGUGCAGAGGCACAAAUCGAGGACUGCUGGGUUAAAUGGUUUUGGAUGAGCACUCUCCACUUCUCGCUGGAGAAAUUCAGGCCCCGGUUCAGAUGAGCAUCUUGAAGUUAUCAGUGGAGACAGAGAGUUUCUCUGAACCCUUUGUUUUAUUUUUUUUUUCCUUGUAGGUGUGAAUUAAUUGUAUAAAGAGUAAAUAAUUCUUGUGAAAUAAGCCCGAAUACUUUCCUCAGUUGCACAAUUGCUUCAGCUCGAGGCUCUGAUGAUCUCAGUCAAGAAAAUUUCUGUCUUUGAACGCAUUCCUCCCAACUACAGAAUUAGUUGAAAUCUGUUCAAGUUGCUGAGUAAAGAGUAAACUUUGUUGUUUUCUUUUUAAGGUUAUUUUUCAACACCCACAAGCAAAUGGGGACAGCGACUGCAAAUUUCAACACGCGGCCGUUGCUAUUUAAUUAAAAUCACUGAGGCUGGCUGAAGACUUUUCAGCAGAGUGAUUUCACAUCAGAGAACACCGGUUCUCAAAAUCUGAACAUUCUUUUCAUAGAAAUCCAUCCCUCCAUUUCAACCAGGAAUGAGAUUUCAGUUCUAGGAAAGGACUUCUCAUCCCAGCUAGGAACGGCAAACCAUCACUCCCCUUUUGCGGCGGGGCUGCCCAACCGUGGCAGCCAGAGCAUCUCUUUCCACCCCUCUCUGUAUUUCCAGCUGUAAUCGUUCCAUGUCUGUCUGCAUUAACUAUUUGCACAGCUCAGGACAGGAGCUCUUGUCCGAGGAGUGGGGAAUCUCCAAGGCUGUGAUUCUCUCUGUUUCAUUAAAGGUAAUGGCAGGGCAGAAUGCCUGCAGGGUGGUUGAACCUUCCUCUCGUUCCUUGCGACCGGGGAAUGGAAACAAUAUCUCACACUAUUUGUGCAGUGAUUCCUGGCUUGUUAAUAUUCUGGUGUGGCUGUUUUUCUCUGCUGUGAGGAACUUUGCCCACUUAGCAUGGGGUUUUGCCUCUGUCUAAGUGGGAAUGCUGCUUUUCCUUUUCCCUUCUUCCAUUUGGAAAGCUGUUUUCCUGCCAUUGCUAGUCCUUUCUGUGUAAUAUUAGCGCAGAGAGAAUGAAAAGUAACUGCUUUCCUUCCCAUCCAAUCGUACCUACGUAGUCUUAAGUAUAUUAUAUGCUUCGCUUCCUGCUUCACCCACUAGUAAAAUAUGUUGAUAGAUGAAUACGGGGGUAAGAUUGCUUUAAUUAGAACCUAUUGCCCUGCACACUAUCUUCUCUAAAGACUACCUGUAUUAACAUCUGGGGAAAAUAAGUCUUAAAGAAAAUUUCCUAGGACAGAUUUUUGGACUUCACCCCCCAACUUCUGCUUCCCAACCCUUUCAAUUUCUCAAGUAUAUUUAAAAAUGCAUGACUCACCCUGUUGCUUCCUUAUAUUUUAUGGUGAGGUGGGGGGGGGGGGGGUGCCUUCAUUUUCAUUCCUGGGAUUACCUUUAACGAAGUGGAAAACAUCUAAGGGAUGGGAUAAUACCUGAUGCUUACAGUUUUCUUUACAUCACAUUACAGUAUUUUCUCAGGUAUUAAAGUAGCACUGGGCUCAACUAAGAGGAGUGAUCAAACUGUCUACUAAUGAAGUUACUCUGACAGGAACUCCAGGAACCGGAAACUGAACUUCAGAAUCAUGAAGAGCACUGCUAGAUGAAGACAUGGGCUGGAUACAUGUCUACCACACUAGAAGAAACUGAAAGAAUACGAUCCCAUUUGACUCCAAAAGUCUUUCUAGGCUAAUUACCAGCUCACAGAGCAGAGAAAUUAAGGCAGAGAGGGAAUGUUCAUGAUGACAACCUUUACCCAUUAGCAAGCUUUGCAUUUUCCCAAGGCUGAAGACAGUUUAGCCCUGACAAAUCCAAUCAGUGAUAUGCAGGCGUAACCUCCAGAAAUAAGCUCACAUUUUUAGGAUCCACGGGGCAAAAGAUGGACUGCAGUAAGUCACUAUGAAAAUAUUUAAAAUACAGCUUGGCCAGUGCUGAAAUGGCACAGUUGGCCUGAAGUCGCUUCAAGGUCUCCUGGCAUCUGCGUGUUUCCCCAGUGGCUUUGUGCAGUAAAGUGUUAACUUCUCCUGAGUGGUUACGUGUUUAAGGCAGUAACUUUAAAAUAAAGAACUGCAACCUUAGAGCAAAGCUGCUAUUUUGAGAAUUUUAAACCAUUAUUGACUCCUGUCAGAUCAGUUUCUAGACUUAUUGACUCAAGAAGUAAAUAUAGACUGAGAGAAAGCGAGGUCAAGUCAAUAUUUAUCUUGCAGAUCAAUACAUUUUGAUACUAACCAAAAAUUAAGCUCAAUAAAUGCAUAUAUUAUACACAGCAAGGUUAGAAGAGAUCCAUUCAGAAAAUUUGUCAAUUUGAAAUUUCCCAACGGAAUCCAACCUUUUGGAUUCAAUUUCCAUUAGAAAUUCUGUCCCUUUAAGGUUGCUUCAGUGACUGAUCACGAGCCCCCAUCACCCAAUCAGGUUUCCAGAUGAACGUUGAGUAGCAGCGAAAGGAAAAGGGAAGAAUGAUGAAGUGAGAAGAAGUUGGUCACAGGAGCUCGAUUACGGUGUUAGGAGGAGACUCGGCAGGGAUUGAAAUAACUAAAAAGAGAAAAAGAAAAGUGUUGGUUUUAUUAGAGCGAGUUUCAAGGUCUGUCUGUUUGUGCACAGUCCAAAUCUCAGGCGGCUCAGCUUAGGGUUUGUACCAUCAGGAGAACGGAAGAGCUGGCAAGCUGAGACACUACCAGUACUUUGUGGAAACCGACAUAUGAAUUUGUUCUACAAAUGUGCCAGGGACACACUGAUCCAACAGUUAGAUCACUUCCAGAAGACACGGAGUUAGAUCUCUGAGUUCACUUCCAAUUGCUGACUACUACUAUCCAAUAAAAGAAAAAUUCUGCGUAAAGUAAACAAGGAAAAUGGAGGAGAUUCUGCUGGAAGGACAGAAGGGACAGCAAGCAUGGAGAUUUAAAUCAGAGGAAGACUGACUGUCACUGCAGAGGGGAAAGGGCAUGAGAAUGAGCACUGCAAGAAAAAAAAAUCAUCAAAAAAUUCCUCCUUCUCUGGGAUGAAUACAGGGGAGUAAAUGUGUUCCUACAAAAAUUGAAUUAUGUAGUGAUUUUAAAUAUGGUGUGAGAAUGAAGGACAUAUGAGCUGCAACGAGAGAACCAAAGAGGAAUUAUGUGAUGUGUUCAGGCUGGGAGUGUGCCUCACAUGACAACAGGAAGAGAGGAAAGGUGGAGGAAAAAAAAUGCAGAAUCGACUCUAUUCUGAGCCAUUAAUGUCAGCCAUGUUGAUGUUUUGUAGCUAGUUAUAUUUGCUGAUGGUUCCCACGCACUCAUGACAUUCAACUUUGCAUCAUCCCCUAAAAACUGGAAAGAUGUCUCUCUGAGAAUGACCUAUAGCUUUGAUAUCACCAUAACUAAUUUCCUUUUCCUAAAGUAAUGGUGCCUACUCUUGAGGAGCAGAAUGCUGUGAGCUUUUAUUUCCAGUCUGAGGACAGUUCUGUGAUAGGUGGAAUAAUGCCAGAACCUACUUUUCAUUAGAUUGUAUGAUCUGACUUUAUCUUGCAUGCUCUGUGUGGUUUGAGUGAAUAAAUCACACCAGAAUUUAUGGGGUUUUCAUCCUUACAAAUGAAUCUUCAUCAUUACUAUGUGGAUAUAAGUAUUCUUGGGCUGCAGAAGACAGUGAGACCCACCAGGGCAACACAAACUGAUGCCAACUUGCCACCUACUACUCCCUUAACCCAAAACUCCAAUGACCUGGGCCACUGAAACACUGGGAUCCCAUAGGGACCUGCCUGGCCAUUCCAUCUGGGGUUUGCAGGACAGGAUCCUGGUCUUUUGUGAAAACUGUUGACUAAAAAUUCAAUUUUCUCUUUCUCUUUUUUUCUUUUACUGUAAGAAUGGCAGAAGAGGAAUGGCCAGAAGCCACCUCCUUCUUGUUUGGACCAGCCUGCUUUUCUAAGGGCAACAAAAAGCAACAGAAGUGGUAGAGAAGAUGAAUGCAUCUUCCCUCCCUUCACAUAAAUUUGUGUUUUUUUUUUUCCUGUUGUUGUUGUUUUAUCCUUUUUUGUUUUAUUAUUUUUCCUAUUUAUUUUGCAAUUGGAAAAGUCCUGGGAUUUCAUUAACAACUUCCCAGGAUGACAGUGAGACCCUCACGACCCAGCAGCGAGUUCCAGUUCCCACCUGGGUGCCUCUGGAGAGUGACAAAUCUCUUGGAUGUGCUCUAACAUCCCAGAAGCACAGGCCAGGAACAUCUGUCUGUUCCUUCCCUUCCUUCAGACUGCCCCGAGGAGGAGGGAGGCAGGCAAGUAAUGAUACGAAAGGCAAAGGCUCAACUGGCCGUGUUACAUUAGCCAACUCAAAUAAUUCCUCUUGGCUGUGGAAACAGCCUUCCCAUCCAAAGCGGUCUUUUUUUUGUUUGUUUGUUUUUUUCCCUUUUUCCCCCCCAAAAAACAAGAACAGCUUAUUUCCAAUUUUGGGCAGGUUCCUUGGCCAUGGGCCAGCUCUCCCCACUGCCUCUCCGUGCUACUUCCCAAUGCCCCUCAAGUGACCUUACUGAAUGCCACGGGGACCAAACCUUACCGAACAGCAAAAUCAAAGUAUGCAAAUGAAGCUUGGAUUAUUACAUAUAUAAUGAUGAAAAUGUUUUUCCUAUGCUAUUGCCUGUGCCCAGCUUCCUUCCCUACCACUCUGAGUGCUUCAGAGCUGUGUAUAGCUGUUGAGCUGAAGCACCCAAGAAUGGCUCUGAAGCAGGAAGAGAGUUCAAUCUGCAGGCUGGUUUUCCAGGCACUUUCUUUCUCAUUCUCCACAAGAUAGUUGAUAUUCCUCCGGAUUUUGCUGUUAUUAUUUGGGUGUCUCUACUUCACAGAAAAGGGCAGAUGAAUGCCUUUUGCAGCCUCUUCAGUCCACUCUAGUUCUAUUUUAGGCUGAGAAGACUGUGCUGCUUGGGUAGAUGGGUGCAUUUCAUGCCAACAGCUUAGUCUUUCUGCAAAGUUAGGCAUCUCAGUUUGAAAAAAUAAGUACUAGGUAAAGCUGUUUGAAUCAGUGCAGGAAGCUGAGUUGCUAUCAGAUGUAUAUGGCAUAAAGUACGUAUCCUGAUGGGUACUCUUCUUCAAAGGAAAAGUGGUGAUGUUUACUUGUGCAUUUUAAUGAUGAGAGGAUGCGUACUGUGACACGAAAUCCUAUCCACUGUACCAGUUCAACAGCAUUUAAACACUGAAGUCUGAGCUACGCAUAACCAAUGGGAAGGAUGUGGAAGAACGCUUGCCUGAAGACACCUACUCUUUAUUUUUAUUACAAAGUCAAUUACCAUUUCAAAGCAGCCAUGUGACAUGUAUACUGUCAGGAGCCAGAUGUUGGCAUUGUGAUAUUGUGACAUUAAUUUAAAAGAAGAGUCUUUUUUUUUUUUUUUUUUUUUAAAUGCUGACUUCCCAAGGAUUAAGUUGGAUAUUCUCAAUGUAGUUGAAAAAAGAAUUUACAUUCCCCAAACACAAACAUUCUUGUUUUCUGUUUGGUUUUAUAACUCAGUCAUUUCUCUAUUGAAGAAGCACAAAACAGAAAGAACUUUUGGUUCCAGGUAGUUUCACUUCAGCUGAUCUUUCUAAAAGCAUGCACCUUUUUAGCUGUUUCAGUUAUGAAUCAUAGAAUGGCCUGGGUUGAAAAGGACCACAAUGCUCAGCCAGUUCCAACCCCCCUGCUAUGGGCAGUUGCCAACCACCAUAUCUUCUUUAUAAAGGGAAGUUUAUUAAGUAAAAUUUGGGUUACUGAGGUUUUAGCACAUGUUGCAUUGAAUCCCUUUUUUUCCCCCCUAAAUCACGUGGUUAAACUUAGUUUGGGUCUCUUACAACCAGAAUCCCUGCUGACUCCGCUCUGGUCCAGGCAGAUUGAACUGAGUCGCAACACUGCUGGUACGCGUCCUCAUCCCCAGUGCCAAGAAAAACCCUUUCCCUCUGUGUUUUCUUGUUAGCAAUACUGCUAUGGAGGCCAAGGACUGACAGUCUUUCUCUUAAUUCUCAAAUCCUCUCCUCCAACAGGGAAAAAGGAAAAAGAUUGAAAAACCUUUUGCUAUUGUUUGGUUGUUUGAUCAUAAAGGGGAACUAGACUGCCAAGCCAGCACCCCAGCAGCCCUAAAUCUAUGUGUAAAAUAUGGGCAAAAGGAGAGAAAAGAUUUAUUGUUAUUAUUAUCAUCACAGACUACCUUUAUAAUAUAUGUGUUUCACUUAAAUUAAUAUUUUAUAACUCUAUAUCAGCCUCUGCAGCCACCCAACAGCAUUUCUUAUUUAUCCAGUCGGACAUACUAAUUUGCUUUUAUCAAAAUACUUGAGAAAUAAUUGUCUUACCUCUCCUAGGACAUGCUACAGGGUUUAUUCUCUCCUUGCUAUCUACAUAGUUAUAAAUCCUCAUGCAUUGAGAGCAGAAUAGGCUUUAUGUGUCUAGCAAUUUCUUAUGAUUUCUAGGCUAUUAUCCCCAAAUCCUAAUUAACCAUUUUUAAAAAUAAUGUGGCCUUUCUACCACGUGAGAUAUACCAACAUGAUAAGAUACGAUGUGAAAGUCCCAAGUAUAAUGUAAUUCUGCUGCUUUACUUUUCCUCUUUUAUUAGAGAUUUCUAACAUAAUACUGCAUUUUCAUCCAAAGUGACAGGAUUCAGUACAUAGUUUGUAGUAUAUGUUUUGCAAACUGCCAGAACAGAGCCAUUGAAUUUAGUUUUCUAAUAAUCGUACAGCCAUACAACACGCCCGUACAUGUCAGAAACUGAAGAAAGCAAAUUUAUACACAACAACGUGUAUUUUGUGGAUAGCGAUAACCCACCCAAAUCUAAUUUAAUCAAAUAUUUAAAGAGGUAAUAAUUAAUUUUUAAAGAAUUGAAGUGAACCGUAACUAGGAGGAAAUGUUAUUGUUUAUUUUUAAUGCCAGAACUGUAUUCCUGAUGCAUUUUUAAUAUUUCAUUAAGGUGGUAACUUUCAUGGCGUAUUUUUUCAAGUUUCAUAUCUCCCUGAUUUAUUUCUUUUCUUCUGAAGAAAGGUAAAAUGCCAUAGGGAAACUUAAAGCUUAGAAUGAUGCAGUCUUUGAGGAGCUCUUCCUAAAACUUCCUGGAGUCUUUUUAAGCAGAAUUCUUCUUAAGCCUUUCUGGACAAGCAUUCUAAAACCAGAAGUCUUUUAAACAAGCUGAGGUACAGCAUCUGCUUGUGAGCUGAGCAAAGGGUUCUUCUUUCAGUCAAUGAAUGUGUUCAUCAGGUACUACUUUCUAUUCUGUCUCCAAGCUAUUACUCAUCACUCAUCAUUCUUACUUUCCAGAAGAGAUAUCUGCAAGAAUGGUUUUAAAGCCCAUUGCCUUUCAAACCUGUGUUCUGCCCUUCCUCAGUCCUUUGUUUUUUGUUUUAUCCCUUCUUUUUGAUGGAGCGUCUCUCACGUUUUUGAGCCUUUCAUACUCAAACUGUGGAAGCCUGUUUAUUUCACUCUGGCUCCAGCCCUAGUUAAAGGUGUGAACUACCAAAGUGGAAGGGGGCACAUGCACAUUAACACUGCUGUGGAAAACGUCGCCUGACAGAUGGAUGCAUGUUAAAUGGGUGUUUGAAGAAAGGUGUUUGCAAUAAAAAUCCUGAGUAUGGCAUCAGAGGAAGACCACACACAAUUUUCUACUUUUAUUUCUGUAAUAUAUAGGGGCCAGGCUAGUUCUGGUCUGCUUUAUACUGUCACUUACUCAUAUUUGCUAUUUUAUACUAAUAAUUUGUAUAUUAAUAUUUGUGUGUGUAUUUCAAAGUCUGGCUGUUUUCAAGGGUCUGCUCUGCAGCACAAGGGUCUGAGUCAACAUAGUAUAAAUCAUUGGUUUAUUCAAUAAACAAAAUAGUGAAAGGAUAAAUUGAAUUUCUCCAGUUUCAGUCACCAGUUCUUGAUCUCUGGGGGAUACUCACCUAAUAUGUUAGUUAUGGAGCUAUGAAUAUGAUGUGCAGAUACAUCCUUGCUUGGGUUUAUCUACCUUGACCUUAUCUACCCUAAGAACUGAAGUGUUUAAAUUCUGGUUGAGAAUUGAAGCAGGUGAUUAGAACUAGAUGAUCUUUGAGGGCCCUUUCAACCCAAGCCAUUCUAUGACUCUUUGAAAGAGGAACUGUAGAUAAGUUCACUCAAUUUCUGUUCCUAAGUCCUUAGCUGUUCUCUGGAUGGAUAACAGGAUUUUUUAGGCACAGCAUUGCAUUCUCUACCAUCUUUGCUCUUUUCCCAAAAUAUUUCUGACUCAGUCAUCUCCUGCCUACACAGCGAACUUUUGCGCCCCCUGACUUAGGCUGAAUUGGUUUCUCUUUAUGUACAAACAGGACUGCUUUUUCUUUCCUGAUUUCAUAAUUGCUAUUUCUAUUGGUUUGCUUCUUUUAGUUUUCAAUUCUACUUCAACUUGACUAUGAAGAUUAUCAAGAAAUAAAGCAUGAUUCACAUCUACACAUAGUUUACGACCUUUAGAUUCAAGCCCCUUUAUAUAAACUUGCAAAUACGAAAGGAUACGUCAUAAGACCUUGUAGGCACCCAAACUGUCAGUGAAUUCAGCCUGAAACUGUUUUUUUCAGCUUUAUUGAGACCUCUUUAUAAGCUGUGCUUGUGUUAUGACAAUAGAUUGUUUACAGAUUCUUAAAAUGUCCUGAGUUGAUGGAAAAAAAAGGGCAAUUUUUUUCCUUAUAAAUACCACUUGACUUUGAGGAGUGUUUGAAGCUACACAACCAGAAUAGGAACAUUCACACCCGCUGUACGAGUGGCUCAAAAACCCUGUCAUUUCUCUCAGGCCCAGCUCCAGCAAGCACUUACACACAUGCUUAACUUUAUGCACACGAGUAAUCCCAUUGAUUUAAUGGGAUUAUUCCCCUAUGCACAGUUACGCAAACAUAAGUGUUUGCAGGACUGGGGUCUAUUUCUCUUGCAAUGAUUUGAAACCUGUGGAAGAAAACGCUAUAUGCAAGUUAGAUAUUAUUUAAUGGCCACAUAUUAAGCCUGAAUAUUUCUGCUGAAAUUGGUGAGGCUGUGCGAGUUUCUUUCUGGCUGAGAAACUGUCCUCUUCUGUGCGCAGUGUACACUCUUAGCUUGCUAUGGUGCACUGUGGCUAUCACAGCAUAGAAAGGCAUAUGGGAACUGUUGAGUCACAGCCUGAACCACUGACUGAGCACCUGGGGAAAGGACCUGGUCAGCCCUGGGAGCACAGGUGAAGACAAUUCACCUGUAUGACUGGAAGGGGUGCAGCCUGGCUCCACCUCUCUUAGAUCUCAUUUAAGGGCUGACUGCCACUGGAGAAGGAUCUCCUUCUGGAGAUCCCUCCUUGAUGGAGCUUUCCUUUGUGAACCUGGAAUCAUCUGAUACAGGUGAGCAAUCUUCUUCCCUUCUGUUAUAGCACCUGUCUAUCAUGCUUAUCCUUCAUCAUUAUACGUCUAGUGAAACACCUUUUCCCAUCAUAUUGAUCUGUCCAUUUACUACAAAAACAAAAUGGAGAGAUAAUCAGUAGUAGAAGUACUAAAAGAGAAAAUUCUCCAUGUCCAGAGGUUACUGUAUUUCAAAGCAUUGAUUUAUAACUUGACAAUGACAUUUACAAAACGUUCCUCUAUGUCCAGGAUAUCCUUCUCAUUAAUGCAAUAACAUAAUAACUCAUAAAUAUUUCAUAUAUGUAGAAAAGGCUUACUUUAUAUAUACAUAUGUGUAAAUAAAGAAAUCUAUACACAUAGAGAUGUAUAGUAGAAAAGUACUUCCAAGCAUCAAAAAAACUAUGCAUAAAAUUGUAUGCUCGCAUGCACAGGAUGAUCAUUGUUAUGAAAAUAACUUUGGUAAAAAUAACUGAACUUGAAGUUGCCUCUGACUUGGAUAGUUCACUUUUGAUUUGAAAUUCUGCAGCCAAGAUAAUUUUUAAAAAUUUAGGGCUAGUAACCAUCUGCCAUAAAUGAUAGAAAUUAAAUAUAAAUAAAAUAGUACUUCUACUACCAGUGAUGGGAAUCACAAGCCAAAUGUAUCCAUGGUCUAGGCAGCAGGAACACUUGUAGAACGAAAGCAGCUAAAGGAGCUGUUUUGGCCCAGACAUGUUUUGAUGUGUAGUGUAUCCUGUUGGCUGAACAACAGCAUUAUUAAGCAAUUUGGGCUGGAGCAUCACUGGGCUCUGUGAAGAAUUUGAAGAUCUUGAGCGUGUUGCAAGAAGAAUCAUGCUGUGUCAUUCAGUAAAAAUAUAAUCAGUCUUAUGCCACUGGCACAUUCAAACACCUAGUGGGAUAUGCUGGGCAUCAGUGUUCAAGGUUCUAUGUAAGGUAACAGCUGCUUUGGUCAGGCAGUUAAUUAAAUGUGUUAAUUUUCCAUACAACCAACAGUAGUGACAACAGAUCAAAGUGGAAUUUUAUGACAUUUCAGGGUUCCCUUAUGUGAUCACAAUGGUGGAUGGCACCCACGCUAUCUUUCACAUCCCUUCACUGUAUGAUGCUGCCUUUCCCUUCUGGAAAGCUUCAGUCUUUGACUCUGCAAAUACUCCAAUGGUAAUACUUUGGUACUACUUGCUGGAUAUUGCCAGUUGUCCCAACUCCAAUCUUGAAAAGCUGCUUGGGCUUAUUCCCAUACUGAUGUUGGUUUAGUCUGAAGAUGAAGCAAUUCAUUUGCAAAGCUAUUUUUAAUUUUCUCCCUCCUGUCUUACAUUUCUUAUGAGAAAUAUUCAAUGAGCAGAUAUGUAGUGUGGAAAUAAACUAGUAUGGUAUUUUUGAAUAGAUACUGUAUUCUUCAGAUGUAGAAUUACAGAAAAUUAUUUCCUUUUCCUUGAUAGUUCCGUUUGCUGCAUUGCGAGAUGACAAAUUCAACCUUUUCCAUAACAUUGCUACUUUCAUAACACAGUAAUAACUCAAAGGCAUCGGGAAAGAUAAGUGUUGCAGUAGAAAGAAUCUUUCCCAUAAAGAACAACGUGACAAUUUUCACACUGAACUUUCUGCCAUGUAUAUCUGUGGCGGCGGUUCUGCAGAUACACGCACACCCGACCUGAAAUCAGCCCUGAGAGUAGAUGGGUAUGUUUGAUGAAGGGGUCAUUUAAACCACAAAACCUUUCAGCACCCUGUGUCCCAGAUGCUGGACCACAUAGCUAUGAAGUGUGGUGAGGAUGGCUCACCAGCCUUAUCGCUCUGCCUUGUAGGUUCCCAUCCUCAGAAAGCCACAGGCAUAAAACACAUAAAAUCAUAGAAUCACCAAGGUUGGAAAAGACCCACAGGAUCACCCAGUCCAACCACUCACCCAUCAUAAAGAGAUCAAAGAUGUGGAUGAGGAGGAAGCACUUCUAUUGUGCGUUUCUUCUGAAGGUGCAUCCACUAGCUGAGUGAAAUUUGGAUAGUGGGAAAUGUUUAUUCUCUGAAAGAGUGGUUGGACACUGGCACAGCCUGUCCAGGGAGGUGGUAGAUUCCCCAACCCUGGAGGUGUUCAAGAACUGUGGAGAUGUGGCACUGAGGGACAUGGUCAGUGGGCAUGGUGGAGCCGGCUGGUCUUGGGCUUGGGAUCUUAGAGGUCUUUUCCAGCCUUAAUGAUUCUGUGAGUCUAUGACUGUAAUGUCAGAAAUGGUUUGAACUAAAUAGUGUAUUCUAACUUGCAAAGAAAUAUAUAAACAAGGCCUGUUGACCAAGAAGCCAUAGGAGUGAUGAAAUCCAUGUUGCAAAUUAUUUUGCUUCUACAUUUCCAAUGGAAUUAAUGACCAUUCACAAAGAUUUUAAUCUCUGACAUAGAUGAAUGCCAGGAAAUAUAAUUUUAUAAUAUUCUGAAGUGUUUAUAGCACAUAACAAGCUUUCAGAAUGUGGUUAUAAACUUGAUUCAAGUCCUACAGGUAAAUAACAUAAGAAAGGAAUAAGUUAUCUUACAUUUUGGAUACUAAAAAAGCAGAUCUCUCAACAAAGUCCAACCAGGGAAUGUUCUGUUGCCUGCUGUGACAUAGUCAGACAUCUCAAAAAUUAGGGUGUUUCUCAUUAAGAAGAGUCAAGAAGAGUGCCAUUAAGAGCAGUCACCACCUGUAUGGAGCACAGAGCUCAGCACACCUGGCAAGGGAACUCCUCGCCAUAAAACCAUGGCCAUGAGUCCAACCAAAAAACUGCAGAAGAAGAGGAAAAUUAGUAAAGAUCUCUUCUGUAUAUAUUUCCCAGUGAAGUGUAGUAUCUUCAAACUGUUUCUUGGUAUAGCAUCUUUGAUGCCAGCACUUAUGUCAGAUGAGUCUACAAAGAUGACGAUUGACGUCACUGGAGAAUCUACAAGUUCUCUGUGAGCAAAGAAAGACAAAAACAGACCAACAAACCAAAUUCUUCUCCCUGGACUAACAUAAGACCUAAACAUGCACGCAGCUCUGCACAGCCAUAUCUAAUUGUAAGGUCAUGCCUUUCCUUAAUGAGCUUGCUAAAAGUUUACACCAAGUUUCCUCAGUGAAACAGGUUGGGUCUCAGUGAUCUCCAGCCAGGGCUGUCAUUAAAGAGGAUGGGGUUCCAAUUUCUGAUUAAUGAAAAUUAUAAUUACGUACAGAUAACAAAGAGAGAGACGCGUUUCCAUGUUACUUUAAACAAAGAAGAGUUAAGGCCUUAUCUUAACUAUGCAUUGGCACUGCAAUGCGAAAUGGUCAUGCAAAAUUAAUUUUUAAUGUGUUCAAUUUAUAUUAAAAAUUUCUGCAAGUGUGUGAUUUUUUUUUUUCUAAGGCUGGAGUGCUACUUCAUUUACAAUAUUCCCUGAAGGUGUUUUUUUUUUAAAGAGACUCUUAAACUGAAGCCAUUUUAAGGGUUUUAUGAGACAUUAUGUGAGCUUUCAUAUGCAAGUUAGUCGUUAAGUACCAGAUAUUAUAUUCUGUAAUAUGCUUAAGUGAUAUUAGAGGCUGUAUAUAGCCUGCAGUAAUGGCUAUUGCUGCUUUUUUAAUUUAUCAAGAAAAUGUUGCUUAAAUAAGGAGCAAAUCAGUGCUUGGGUGUAGAAAAUAUAAAUGUACAGGAAGUAAUAGUAUCAUUGCAACACACUUUGCAUGUCCAGCUUCCCUGGGGAGCAAACACAAAGUCUGCUUUCGCCUACUCCUGUUGACGCACACAGAAGACCCAUACACGUGGUGAUGGAAAUAUGCAAAAAGAGAAACUUCACUGACUCUCACUGAGCAGUGUGUGACUGCUGCUCCUAAAGACUUCAUGACAAUUAGUAUUAUGCCCUCGGUAACUGGGUUUUUUUGUACAAUCCUUGGCAUUCAAACAAAGUAACAUCUCACAUUUGGAUGCAGACCAGUGAAGUCUUUGAAUGUUCAUCCUACAAAGGGAAAUAUUUUUGUUAAGCUGGAUUCACUGGUCAAGCUAAAACAGCUAGGAUAAAAAACCUCACAUGGUGAACAAACUUGCUAUUUUUCUUUGGGUCCCUCUUGCUGAGAAAUAAGAAAGAGAAAAAAAAAAAAAGAAAAGAAAGAAGAAACCUUUAAGCUGACAAGCCUGUAGAAAUAGAAAAGUCACUUGACUUUACUUACAGAUGUGCUUCCUGCUCCGAGCUCUGACACAGAAACAAACCCUUUUGCAGUUGUGCUGCAUGGAAGAGGGACACAGGCAUGUUCUGCCCUGCCCACCCCACACAGUUCUCCCUGCUCUGAGCACACAGUGCUGCCUGGAGCCCACGGCUCAUUCCCUUCCCUUUGACCAGGGACCACAAUUCCAUGCCCAGCUGCAAAUUCCCACUUUCCUGCAGGGUUAUGAUUGAAUAAAUGUAUUUAAAAUGAGAAAUCAUCUUUUCCAUUUUCUUUCUCUCACCCAGCUGCUGUUUCCCACUCUGAUUCCUGUUUUGGAGCCAUAAUUAAUCUGUGUGUGUGUUUUUUCCUUUUAUUUCUUUUUUCUUUUCUUUUUUUUUUUUUUUUUCCCAAAUCACACCAUCCUUCUCUUUUGCUCCCCCUGGUUCUCCACACAGCUGCAGAUCCUCACUCCUCCUUCCAUCACCGUCCUUAUCAUCCCCACCCUCCUCCCUCCCCUGGCUCACUUAAAUAUUUCAGAGAAAUGCAAUCCAGCUCCAUCCAGGCUUCAUGGCACUCCUCUCUUCUCAUCUGCACUCAUUCUCACUUGCUGUCCCUGGGAGGAACAAGGUCCUUGGCACGCUACAAGCUGCCUCUCCAAUGAACCUGGCCACAGAUGAGCGUAAAGCUGGGCACCAAAUAGGCAAUGCAGACCUUAGCAAUCACUACCUUGAAGAACUGUUUUGCAGGCAAUGCAUGGGCCCAGGCUCUCCAGAGUGAUGCAGCAAAAGCCCAGGACAAACAUCUCCCCAACCCCACCGGAUCUCUCCAUCCUGAUGACCUGACUUUAGGCUUUUCUAUUCAUCACAAAACCCUCAUUGAUGUCUCCCAUGUCCAAGAUCACAGAAUUCUAGAAUGGCUUGCAUUGGAAGGGACCAUAAACAUCAUCUAGUCCCAACAUUCAAAGAUGAGGAAAAUGCAGGAGUCCCCAAUGGAAGUGUGGUAGCAUUUGCUGUCUACACGCAUGCACAGGGAUUUAUUACAGUUGGAGAACAAGUCCACAAUGUGGGCUGCCCAUCAUUACAACUUUAAGAUGGCUUUUGCUCUUUGCCAGGGGGUUUUCUGCAAUUCAUUCCCACCUUGUUUGGAUGAAGAAGUCACAGUGCAUUUCAGUUCAGCUCUUUCCAUGGCAAAUUUGCAGAGAGCUGGACUGAAGGCCAAUAAGAAAUAAGAACAUCAAUGAAAACACACAAAAAAAGAACCAACCACCAAAAUAAAUAAAUAAACAAUAAAAAAUAAAAACCAAGCAACCACUAUAUUUAAGCAGCAAUAUAUUUAACAAGUGUAUCAACACCUGAGUCACCUGCUCUCUCUGCUAAGCCCAAGCCUCAGCCCCAGCAGUUUGCCUGCAGACCCUCUUCCCCAGCCACUCCUGGACUCUGAUAACAGGAGCCAACUUUUAUCCAGUUUCAAGCUCCUUCACGUGCUCCAAAUCAUUUCACACAUUUCCCAUGGGGUAAGUGAGGAAGACCGUACAGAGUUUUCCUGUUAGUGUCCAUUUGGUC